UACGUAGGGAGCAAGCGUUGUCCGGAAUCAUUGGGCGUAAAGCGCGCGUAGGUGGCCCCAUAAGUCCGCUGUGAAAGUCAAAGGCUCAACCUUUGAAAGCCGGUGGAUACUGUGGGACUAGAGUACGGAAGAGGCGAGUGGAAUUCCUGGUGUAGCGGUGGAAUGCGCAGAUAUCAGGAGGAACACCAAUAGCGAAGGCAGCUCGCUGGGACGGUACUGACGCUGAGACGCGAAAGCGUGGGGAGCGAACAGG
rnacentral:rRNA from 1 species